AGAGUUUGAUCCUGGCUCAGGAUGAACGCUAGCGGUAGGCUUAACACAUGCAAGUCGAGGGGCAGCACGGUAGCAAUACUGGUGGCGACCGGCGCACGGGUGAGUAACGCGUAUGCAACCUACCUUUAACUGGAGGAUAGCUUCGAGAAAUCGUAAUUAAUACUCCAUAACAUCUACGAGUCGCAUGGCUUGUAGAUUAAAGCUCCGGCGGUUAAAGAUGGGCAUGCGUAUCAUUAGCUUGUUGGUGAGGUAACGGCUCACCAAGGCUACGAUGAUUAGGGGGUCUGAGAGGAUGGUCCCCCACACUGGUACUGAGACACGGACCAGACUCCUACGGGAGGCAGCAGUGAGGAAUAUUGGUCAAUGGGCGAAAGCCUGAACCAGCCAUACCGCGUGAAGGAUGAAGGCUCUAGUAGUUGUAAACUUCUUUUAUGUGGGAAGAAAUCUACUCUCGUGAGAGUAGUUGACGGUACCAUAAGAAUAAGCACCGGCUAACUCCGUGCCAGCAGCCGCGGUAAUACGGAGGGUGCAAGCGUUAUCCGGAUUUAUUGGGUUUAAAGGGUACGUAGGCGGAUUAUUAAGUCAGUGGUGAAAUCCUGCAGCUCAACUGUAGAACUGCCAUUGAUACUGGUAAUCUUGAAUGUGAUUGAAGUAGGCGGAAUGUGUCAAGUAGCGGUGAAAUGCUUAGAUAUGACACAGAACACCGAUUGCGUAGGCAGCUUACUAAGUCAUUAUUGACGCUGAGGUACGAAAGCGUGGGGAGCGAACAGGAUUAGAUACCCUGGUAGUCCACGCCGUAAACGAUGAUUACUCGUUGUUGGCGAUACACAGUCAGCGACCAAGCGAAAGCAUUAAGUAAUCCACCUGGGGAGUACGUUCGCAAGAAUGAAACUCAAAGGAAUUGACGGGGGCCCGCACAAGCGGAGGAACAUGUGGUUUAAUUCGAUGAUACGCGAGGAACCUUACCUGGGCUUAAAUGUAGUACGACCGCUGCCGAAAGGUGGCUUUCCUUCGGGACGAAUUACAAGGUGCUGCAUGGUUGUCGUCAGCUCGUGCCGUGAGGUGUCGGGUUAAGUCCCAUAACGAGCGCAACCCCUAUCACUAGUUGCCAGCGAGUAAUGUCGGGAACUCUAGUGAAACUGCCGGUGUAAACCGUGAGGAAGGUGGGGAUGACGUCAAAUCAGCACGGCCCUUAUGUCCAGGGCUACACACGUGUUACAAUGGCCAGUACAAAGGGCAGCUACUUGGUGACAAGAUGCUAAUCUCUAAAGCUGGUCUCAGUUCGGAUAGAAGUCUGCAAUUCGACUUCUUGAAGUUGGAUUCGCUAGUAAUCGCACAUCAGCUACGGUGCGGUGAAUACGUUCCCGGGCCUUGUACACACCGCCCGUCAAACAAUGGAAGCUGGGGGUACCUGAAGUCUGUAACCGCAAGGAGCGGCCUAGGGUAAAACCGGUAACUGGUGUUAAGUCGUAACAAGGUAACC
rnacentral:rRNA from 1 species